GUGGUAUGCAAUGUUCCCUCUAAGCUGCGCGCGUGCGCAAUCGCGCACUGCCCGCACAUUCUCAGCGCACAAGAAAAUCUAUCCAGCGCAUAAACAACAUCAACAUAACGUAUUAAUUCAUAUCUAAUAUUAGACCUAAUCUAAUCUAAUUAAUUCGCCCAAUAAUAUUGUUUUUUUGUUUCUCACUCAGUGAGUGACAGGUGUCCAGCCAAUGAUACGAUACGGUUCACUUACGGUACGAAGCCAAUCAUGGCAUUGACGGUGCUUGCGUCUGGGCCCUGCCUAUAUGCGCCGUGCAGGUUAGCUAGCAGGUUAAUAGAUGCUAAUACAAACCCCGCAUCAUGGCGAAACGAACAGGCAGCGACACAUCCACUCAGCAAGCCACAGUAAAAAAGAAAUGCAGUUCUUUUAAGAUGGAAUGGCUGUCGGAGUAUGUGCAAAUUGAAGAAAAAGCGGUGAAAUUGGGUGAGAUUUUUUCUUUUUCAAGUGAGAAAGGUCUACUCUGCAAAACAUGCAGCGAUGCCAAAGUAGCAAGUGAGUUUUCAGAGGGAAAAAUGUGAUCUCACAGCUUGUGGAUAUUUGUGCUACAUUUCAAGCUUCCAGUGCCGACUGUGAAAGAGGAUUUAGUUUAAUGAAUCAUAUCAAAACAAAAUCCAGAAAUCGUCUUGAAGUGACACAUUUGGACCAGCUGAUGCGCAUAAAGUCAAAGCAAGAAGCAGACGAAGCCAUCAACCUGGACAAAGUGUACAACUAUUGGAGAAGUGAGAAGGACAGACGUGAAAAAUAAGAACAGGACCCUCAGCCAGGCAAAGCAGGACUCUUCCCAUGGCCAAAGCAGGACUCUCACAUACUGUAUAACAUCUACACAUCCCAUUUUUCAGAUUUUUGUCUUUUUUUAAGUGGACCAAAUUACUUAUUUAAAAAUAAAGCGUGCAUAUCUAAUGUUG